rnacentral:rRNA from 1 species
AUUGAACGCUGGCGGAAUGCUUUACACAUGCAAGUCGAACGGCAGCACGGACUUCGGUCUGGUGGCGAGUGGCGAACGGGUGAGUAAUGUAUCGGAACGUGCCCAGUCGUGGGGGAUAACGUAGUGAAAAUUACGCUAAUACCGCAUACGAUCUAUGGAUGAAAGCGGGGGAUCGCAAGACCUCGCGCGAUUGGAGCGGCCGAUAUCAGAUUAGGUAGUUGGUGGGGUACAGGCCGACCAAGCCAACGAUCUGUAGCUGGUCUGAGAGGACGACCAGCCACACUGGAACUGAGACACGGUCCAGACUCCUACGGGAGGCAGCAGUGGGGAAUUUUGGACAAUGGGCGAAAGCCUGAUCCAGCCAUUCCGCGUGCAGGAUGAAGUCCCUCGGGUUGUAAACUGCUUUUGUACAGAACGAAAAGGUUUCUACUAAUACUAGGAGCUCAUGACGGUACUGUAAGAAUAAGCACCGGCUAACUACGUGCCAGCCGCCGCCGUAA